UCUGCAGUUCAUCCUAACCCACCUUCCUGCAGCAUCUAUUUGCAGGCUUGGCCAGGAAACAGAUGUGAUGCCCUUAGACAAGGUCUUCAGGUCUGGGCUAAACUCACCACCAUGUUCUUCCUAACUUUGGACUGUGCUCUCUGGGAAAGCUUAUCUCCUCUUGCACACAGAUGACCACAGGCCUUGUAAAUCUUUGAAGUUCCUUUACCAGGCCUUUAGUCUUACAUUUUUUGGAAGGUAGAGAAAUUAACCUUUGCUAUGAUUAUUGCUAUGAUGGUGGUGGCUGUGGCUUUUAAUCACUCAGAUGAUUCUGUUGGACUAUGCUCCUGGGAAUACUGAUUUUCCUAUACCAAGAAGACUUAAGAUAAAAGCUUUGUAAGGGAUCCCAACAUGUUGUAACAGUUCACAGACAAAAACAGACCUCCACUUUUCGGAUGGGUAGAAGAUUCUAGAAACCAGUUCUUUGCCCUACUUCUAGUUCCCAAGAGCUCCUUGAGGAGGCGUCACUGAGCCCAGGUUUAAGGCCAUCGUGCUAGUUCAUCUUAGUGUCUCCAAACCCCCAAGAAGUGACAAGACUCACUAAGGUAGUUCGGGAACACUGUAGAAGAUACAAGGUCAAAGCUAGUGCUGUGAGGCCCCUGUCCAUGCUCCUUUCUGCAUCAUACCGUGUGCUCUUUGGACUUGGCUCUCCAGGAACUGUGAAGACCUUGGCAGCAGGUUUAUUAAAUAAAAGACAAAAAUGUGAUGCAGUGGGAAGAAGCAGUCUGGAAGGACACCAUUCAGUGCCAUAACCAUCAACCACAGCUGGCUGCUGAGCACUUGAAUAGGACGCGUCCAGUGGAGAUGAGUUACUUUCAUCUUUACCUGAGUAAAGCACGAUCAAUGUUCCUGUCCAGCAACUCCAAUUAGGCCACUCCAGACAACUCUGCUGA